AACCAAGUCUCUAAGCAAUGGAUGUCUUGGCUCCUCACACGAUGAAGAACGUGGCAUAAUGUGUUAAGUAACCGGAGUUGCAAACAUCAUGACAGGUUAAUCUUUGAAUGCAAAUUGCGCUAAACUCGAUCUCGGUCGAGAAGCAUGGGUGUGACAGUACUACAUCUUUUAUAAUAAUUCUUAUUCUAAGCGAAUAAGUAAAUAAUAUAUAAGACAAACAACACGUAGUCUGCCAUACGCAGGAAGACCCGCUGAACUGAAGCAUCUCAUUAAGCGGAGGAAAAGAAACUAACUAGGAUUCCCUUAGUAAAGGCGAUCGAAAAGGGACAGCCCCACGUCUUAUUCCUGCAAAGGAAAUGUAGUCGGGUCACCU
rnacentral:ncRNA from 1 species